rnacentral:rRNA from 1 species
UACGUAGGGGGCAAGCGUUGUCCGGAUUUAUUGGGCGUAAAGAGCGUGUAGGCGGCCAGGUAGGUCCGUUGUGAAAACUCGAGGCUCAACCUCGAGACGUCGAUGGAAACCAUCUGGCUAGAGUCCGGAAGAGGAGAGUGGAAUUCCUGGUGUAGCGGUGAAAUGCGCAGAUAUCAGGAAGAACACCUAUGGCGAAGGCAGCUCGCUGGGACGUUACUGACGCUGAGACGCGAAAGCGUGGGGAGCAAACAGG